rnacentral:snRNA from 1 species
AUACUUACCUGGCUCACGGAGGGAUACCGUGAUCAGAAGGCGGUGGCCUCCCAGAACAGGAGGGCUGUACAUUUGCAACUCCGUAUGGGCUGACUCCUGCGACUACCACGCAAAUCGGGGUGGCUCGAGCGCAUAAUUUUUGGUAGUGGGGACAAGGCGUUCAGCGCUGUCCCUUU